GUAUAUAAAUUAAAUUCAUCAAAUAAUCAAUGACCAUGUUGUCUUAAAUGUGUAUCAUACAUCGACACGUGACACUGGCUCUCUCUUUCACAGACACACCCAAUUUUAUUUUUUGAGAAGGCCUUCACCACCCACCUCUCCAAAGGACAUAUUUUAUAUAUCGAAAAAUGUUAUUCCAAAGUGAAUGGAAAAAAAGUGUGUUAAUUUUGUGUCCCCAAAUUUUGUGUUUAGAUAACACUCCUCUUUAUUCAAAAAUACAAUAAAU
rnacentral:lncRNA from 1 species